CCCUAUGGGGGGAGCAGGCGGGAAAACUUUGCAUGUGCGAAGCACGGACAAGGUUAAUCCGAGUGGUUCUGCUAAAGAAACUUUUGCUAGUCCUAGAAACACUAGUGAAUAAGGGCCGGGCAAGUUCUGGUGUCAGCCGCCGCGGUAAAACCAGCACCUCAAGUGGUCAGGAUGAUUAUUGGGCCUAAAGCAUCCGUAGCUCGUUUUGUAAGUUUUCGGUUAAAUCCAUACGCUUAACGUAUGGGCUGCCGGGAAUACUGCAUAACUAGGAAGUGGGAGAGGUAGACGGUACUCGGUAGGAAGGGGUAAAAUCCUUUGAUCUAUUGAUGACCACCUGUGGCGAAGGCGGUCUACCAGAACACGUUCGACGGUGAGGGAUGAAAGCUGGGGGAGCAAACCGGAUUAGAUACCUGUUGUAGUCCCAGCUGUAAACUAUGCAAAACUCAGUGAUGCAUUGGCUUGUGGCCAAUGCAGUGCUGCAGGGAAGCCGUUAAGUUUGCCGCCCUGGGAAGUACGUACGCAAGUAUGAAACUUUAA
rnacentral:rRNA from 1 species